rnacentral:rRNA from 1 species
CUGAACCAGCCAAGUAGCGUGAAGGAUGACUGCCCUACGGGUUGUAAACUUCUUUUAUAAAGGAAUAAAGUUUUCCACGUGGGGAAUUUUGUAUGUACCAUAUGAAUAAGGAUCGGCCAACUCCGUGCCAGCAGCCGCGGUAAUACGGAGGAUCCGAGCGUUAUCCGGAUUUAUUGGGUUUAAAGGGAGCGUAGGCGGACGCUUAAGUCAGUUGUGAAAGUUUGCGG